UUGUGUUGGGAGGGUACGGACAAUCUAUAGCCAUUCUUCAUUAUCACCCUGUCCAUAACAUUAGAGAUGGGGCAAUUAACAAAAAGUACCUGAAUGAGGCUCCAUCCCUCCAUUUUAAGCCCCAAUAUGCUUGCCAUCUUUUAGUUACCCUCAUAUAAUGUGAGCCCAUUGACUCAGUCUACUCUUUUGUAUCCUAGAAUAUCAAGCUGCCCAACAGCAGGGAAGAUGAAGAACCUAAGCAUCAUGGGAAAUAUGGAAUUCGUGGUUUCAUCUGAUUGAUGGGAGGAUAAGGUGGAGAGACAGAGAAAGAAAGAAAAGCGGGGAGAACUGGAAAUGAAGACAGAAGAGGAAAAAGGACUAAGACAGAGACAAAUGUAGUCUUGUGAACAAAAAGCAUGGUGCCAAGGGCAAUUGAUUCUUCACACUUGACUUUCAAGAAUCCUGAUUCCUGGGAAUUGGGGCCUAGGGGAAGAAGGAGAGGUGGAAUGGGGUUUUAUAGCAAGCAGAUACUUUGGGGAAGGAGUCCAGAAGAAGGCUUGAAACCAUCCUCUCACCUCUAACAUUCAAAGAUUGCAACUCUCUCCACAACUUCAAAGAUGGUUUCUGGCUGAAAAUAUCCAUUGCC
rnacentral:lncRNA from 1 species